UACGUAGGGUGCGAGCGUUGUCCGGAAUUAUUGGGCGUAAAGAGCUCGUAGGCGGUCUGUCGCGUCGAUCGUGAAAACUUGGGGCUUAACCCUGAGCUUGCGGUCGAUACGGGCAUGACUGGAGUUCGGCAGGGGAGACUGGAAUUCCUGGUGUAGCGGUGAAAUGCGCAGAUAUCAGGAGGAACACCGAUUGCGAAGGCAGCUCGCUGGAACGUUACUGACGCUGAGACGCGAAAGCGUGGGGAGCAAACAGG
rnacentral:rRNA from 1 species